UACGGAGGGAGCUAGCGUUAUUCGGAAUUACUGGGCGUAAAGCGCACGUAGGUGGCUUUGUAAGUAAGAGGUGAAAGCCUGGUGCUCAACACCAGAACUGCCUUUUAGACUGCAUCGCUUGAAUCCAGGAGAGGUGAGUGGAAUUCCGAGUGUAGAGGUGAAAUUCGUAGAUAUUCGGAAGAACACCAGUGGCGAAGGCGGCUCACUGGACUGGUAUUGACGCUGAGGAGGCGAAAAGCGUGGGGAGCGAACAGG
rnacentral:rRNA from 1 species